rnacentral:rRNA from 1 species
UACGAAGGGGGCUAGCGUUGUUCGGAAUCACUGGGCGUAAAGGGCGCGUAGGCGGCUUUAUAAGUCGGGGGUGAAAGCCUGUGGCUCAACCACAGAAUUGCCUUCGAUACUGUAGAGCUUGAGACCGGAAGAGGUUAGUGGAACUGCGAGUGUAGAGGUGAAAUUCGUAGAUAUUCGCAAGAACACCAGUGGCGAAGGCGACUCACUGGACAUGUAUUGACGCUGAGGUGCGAAAGCGUGGGGAGCAAACAGG